CCCAGCAAUAGACUGUCAUCACACACAGCAAUUCUUAGUUUUCCCUACCUAUCUUUUUCAAUAUUUUAUAAUUAGACUUGUAUAUAGAACGAAGACUCGGCAAAAAGGUGGUGGUUUGGUCAGUGUCAGCUCGGUAGGCAUGGUGGGUGCGACGUACGACGGCCUGUUAUCCUUCUACCAUCAAGAGCGGGAGGUUGUCGAUGCUCUGUGAAGCCAGCCUGACGCGGUGCCCUCCGCUUUAGGAUCCUAUGAGACUUAGGCCUUCGCCAAGAUCACAUAGAACAUCUGCCUGACUUAGAAUGGGCGAGCCGAGUAAUGUGCGGCCGCACCCAACCUACUCGAGCACAACAUGCCAUUCCACAACCGAUCGCCCCCGCUCGGGUUACAAGCCAACGCUAACGGGCUCGGCGAUCGAGGCGCUUUCACAGCAUCAUAUCAGGCCAAACAAUUUGUCAAAACAAGUGAUGUGGGACCAAGAAUGUUGUAACUGUUAGUGUAAACAACUUUAUGUCGUGUCCUCGAGCCGACGCGGUUUGGUUGGGGGUCCGAAUGACGAGGAUCUUGCGCGGCGUCCCUCGAGAUCUCCCAGUGGCCGAUUACGGUGGUCCGGUCGGGACGUCGCGUCGGGAGGAAAGCUUUGCCGUAGCGCCGGGAAGAGGCGACCCCGUUCUUGCACCUGCACACAGGUCGGGUCGGAAGCUCGGCCCGACCCCUCCGACGAUCAAGUUAGUGGAUAUGGAGGGGGUUUUAGGUGAAUAAGUGCUCUCUUUUUCUCCUCCCUUUUCGUUUAGAACUCGGUGGUAUUUAUAGGUGAGUUUAGUGUUACCUGAUGUGUCUGCCCGCAGGAGCAGAAUCGUACCUCUAAUGGCGUCUGACAUUGCCGUUGGCAUUGCGUGGAGAACCGAACUGCCGCAGGGCAUGGGUGAGCCUCGAUCGCCGUUCUCCUCUGCCUUGGCCAAGCAUGUUGGGUCAGACAACGAUGAAGUCGUUGUCUGGGAGCGGGUGACGUCAGCGCACAUCGCGUCAGCAUUACUGCCCUAUUUGGGGUAGAGUGUCGUCCAGACAUGGCUGACGUCGUGACGCGUCAUGUCGCCAUUAUUAUCCUCAUCAGUAACCACUGAUGCUUCUCCUUAGCGCGCACCAAAUGCUUUGGAUGCUGCUGUAACUAACUGUGCGCCUAGUACGUUUUGGAAGACACGCGAAUUGAACUCCACUGGAUUGUACUCCGCCCUGAAUGAUACAAACCCAAAUGCUAGAGAUUUUAAUCUCUGAAAUUAUUAGCAUCGAGUUGAAAUUUUGUCAUAUAUAUACAAGUUGAAAUUUCUAUCAGAAUUGAGUAUCGAUCGAAGGCCUCUCAUAUAUGUUGCUUUUUUAAUUUUAUUUUUUCCUUUUACAAUUCUUUCUUAUAUAGUUCAUGCUAGUUGAAUAUUAAGAAAACAACAGAAACAAUAAUAAUAAUUAUUAUUAACUAUCUAUGUAUAUUAGAUAGUUGAAAAGAUACACUAAAAUCUCAUAUUCAAGAGAUAUGAACUUGAAUAACCAAACGGUAUAUGAGAAUACAUAAUAUUAAGAAGAUUACCUUAAGAGAUCUAUACAAAAUCUAAAAAACAAACAUAAAUAGUGCAAAUCAAUGAGUGCAUAAAGACGAUGUUUACAACUCUCAAAUUUAUUAUCAAUGAAGUAAAAUUGUAUUAUAAGCAUCAUAAAAAAAAAUCAUAGAGGGCAUGUGUCCCUAGUUUAUUUAAGGGUGAGGGAUAGGAUGAUAGCUUAAACUUGUAUAAAGAAAAAAAACUAAAAACAUCUUAUGAUAUAAUAAAAACUAAAAUCACCAUAGGUUUAGAUGAUUAUACCAUUAAAACAUAUAUGAAUAUUUGGGAUCAUUCCACUUACCAAAAAAGGUGGUGGUUUGAUAGGCGUUAACCCUGUGGGUACGGUGAGUGCGGCGUACACCGGCCUGUUAUCCCUCCACCGUCAAGAGCGGGAGGUGGUCGCUGCUCUGUGAAGCCAGCCUGACGCGGUGUCCUCCGCUUUAGGAUCCUAAGAAGCUCGAGCCUUCGCCCGGGCCGCACGGCUCAGCUGCCUGACUUGGAACGGACAAGCCGAGUAUAGUACGGUCGCACCCAACCCAGUCGAGUUAAACACACCAUCCCACCGCCUCAAGGCUCCCGCUCGGGUUACAAGCCCACGCUACCGGGCUCGGCGAUCGAGGCGCUUUCGCAGCAGAAUAUAACGUCUUUGAUUCUUUUAGAAUUGGCGAUGUGGGACUAAGAAUUGUGCCAACCCGCCACCGAUUCAUCCACCAGCAAAAUGCUUUGGAGGAUAACACAAACUGCAAGUGCCCCAAGAGAAUUGGAUUGCGCACGAACAGCUUCUUUCUACUCCAACGCCCCGAAUGAUGCAUUCAUGGCCAAACUGUGUUGUUCAUGGAUGCAGAUCGAAAAGCGCUAAGUAAUCCCCAAAGGUAAGAAUACGUUUGAUUGUCUUACGAUACAACCUUACCCUAUUAGAAAUUUAAUCUCAUAAUCUAAUAAUACUAAAAGAACAAAAAAGAGAAUCCAAUUACAGAGAAAAGGAAUGAUAAAAAAGUGGGGUCUGAUCGAUGUUAGCUUGCCGAGCAUGGUAAGGUGUGGCUUCGACCAGUCUGCCAUCCCUUCCACUGUCGAGAGCGGGAGGUACUCGUUUCUUUGUUAGGAUGCGUAUGACUCGAGUCUUCGCCUGGAGUCACAUUGCUCAAUUUCUUGACUCAAAAUGGGCAAGUCGGGGUUGGGUGGGUCAAACCUAACCCAAUCAAGCACAACACAUCAUUCCACCUCCUUCAUGCCCUCACUCAUGUGACAAGCCUGUGCUACGAGGCUCGACAAUUACAAGUAUUUCACAGAGUAAUAUAAAGGCAUAAAAAUAGGUAAAAACUAGCAAUGUGGGACGAAGAAUAGUGCGACCACUUUCCCCUCCUCCCUUUGCAGAGAGAUUCACGAACCAAAUGCUUUCGAGAGGGAACAUAGGCUUGGAUGGUGUAUUUGUCCACCUGUUUUUAUUUUGGAGAAAGAAUUCAACUGCAUUGUAAACGUAAAACUCCUUCCUACUCCCCUCCUCAAUGAUAUAUAAAUAUUUAGAAAAAAACUUUAGUUUUCAAAAAUUCUCCAUCUCAACUUUUAAAAAUAUAAACAAAGUACCUAUUUCGUGCAUUAAAACAUCGUUUUAUCUCUACUUUUGUCGGAUCCAUUAUUACCUCAACCCUAUAUCAAUGCUCUAACUCUUUUCCCCUUUGCUAAGAACAACAAUAGAGUAGGGGGUCACGAAUCCUUGGUACUUUGUGUCUUCACACACGAGUUGACUUACGCACUUAGCCAUGCUUUUAUCUUGAACAGUCAUCCAUUACCCACAGCAUUGUUGAUCGCCUUCAUGAGUGGGCCCAGCCAAACUCUUUCCCCGCCUAUGAUCGAUGACGAGGGGUGCUUAUGGGCGAUUGCGAGGGUACACAGUAUGCCUCCCCUCCUUCCUCACCCACGAACAAUGAUGAGUGAAGGCAUAGGGGUCGUGGCCCUUGGUUCUUCAUUUGCAAUCGAUAACGAUAGAGUUCAAAUAUAUAUUGUAUAGCUUAAUAUUUUCAAAGUUACGAUCGCCUAAUAUUUUUUAAGAAUAUACAUAUUUAGAAUUUUUUUAAAUCUAAGAUCUAUAUAAUAUUUAUUUAUUUUUAAUUAGUUUAGUCCUUCUAUUCAAAGAUACGAACUUGAAUAAUCGAUGAUAAAAUAAGACAUAAUAUCAUGAAAAAUAAAAAAAUAUUUUUUUAGAAAAAUUAGAAAACCAUAUUAAUUAGUAAAAGCUGAAAAAAAAUAUUAGCAUCACCAUGGGCUAAGGAGUUACAAAUCCUAUGAAAAAUCAAUUUAAACUAAGCUAUGUUGAAAUUGCAUAGUUGAUCCUUUCUAAUCCCACGUCAUUGGGUUUUAGAGGAUAAUGUGAUGGGACAUACCAUGGUACUUCAGCAAAGCGGAGCUUUCUUUCUAUCAUUUAAUAGUCCUAUGCGUUGUAUCUUACUAUUAUUUUUAAUGCGAAAAAGUGGUGGUUUGGUCAGUGUAAGCCCGAUGGGUAUGGUGGGGGCGGCGUGCAUCGGCCUGUUAUGCUUCCACCGUCAAGAGAGGGAGGUUAUCGCUGCUCUGUGAAGCCAGCCUGACGCGGUGUCCUCCGCUUUAGAAUCGCAUGUGACUCAGGCCUACGCCAGGACCGCACUGCGAAGCUGCCUGACUUGGAACGGGCAAGCCAAGUCUGGAAAUCACCGGACCCAACCCAAUAGAGCUGAACACAACAUCCCACCACAUCCUUGCCCCCACUCGGGUUACAAGCCUGCGUUACUGGGCUCGGCGAUCGAGGGCCUUCCGCAGCCUCAUAUAACUUUUUGCGAGACUCUAAAUAUUGGCGAUGUGGGACUAAGAGCACUUCCUCCGCUCCCUCCUUUCCCUUUCCGAAAAUUCAUGCACCGCGUGCUUUCUGAGAGAACCCGAAUUGCACCCAAACUUUCGAUCAUGGUUCUUACCACCUUUUCAUCACCUAAAACUAUUUCAUCGGCAAAGAGGCCAUUUGAAUAAGGUCACUAUUCAAAAGCUUAAGAAUAAGGUUACUAUUUAAAUGCUCGAGUUUUUAGAAAAUAAUAAAGUAGAAGAUAUCAAUAGAAUUGUGUUAAUCAUCACCUCUUUACUCUAACGUUUAUCAUCUUUAUAAAAAUUAUCAAAAGAUAAAAGGUGCUUCAUCUCCUUCUCUUUGAAGUUUAUUUUUAGGUUGCCCUUCGUCCUUGUACAUUUUUCAAUGAUAAAUCAUAUAUAAGAUUUAUGACCCAAUGAGCUAUCUCCUUUCAAGAUGAGUCUAUCAAUAUUAAUAUCAAUUUGUCUCUCUGUGACUCCUGAGGUCGAGGUAAGUGUUCUUGGUGCUUAAGGAUGAAUCGCGCAAGAUAAAUCUGAUGUAUGAAUUCUUCAAUAUCCUUUUUCAAGUCUCGAUAUUCAUUUGUGUCAUGGACGUAAUUCAGAUAGAACCGAUAAUAUUUAGAUCCGUCUUUUUUUGCCAAUGAAGUAUUCAUCGAGUGAGAGUCUUUUAAGAGUCUCUUUCCUUUUAUCGGUAGAAAAAAACUUUAAUUCUAAGCAUAUUCAAGGGGGUUAGCUCAGACCUUGGGCGAGGUAACUCAAGUCGUUCGUUCUUCCUCUAUUGUGAUGACCUCGGGGUCGGGGUGGACUAUAGUUGCUCUUACUUCGACCUCUUGUGCGGCUGACUCUUUACGCUUACCAGAUAUUAUUAUCCUGAUGGUAAUAUAUUGAUUGACUCUUUGAAGUGCCUGUAGUAUUGUCGCCGAUGACCUCUCCACUAACGACGAGAAGAGAUGAGAGGACUUGAGACUCAUCAUGAAGGUUUGUAUCAAGAGUGACGAACGGAUAUACCACGCUUUGGAUUUUAUUAAUGAAACUAAGUGAUGAAGUUUGUAAGAAUUUCCUUCAAUUGCAUGAAUACGAGAAGCAUUGACAUUGCUAGCCUCGGGUGCACAUUCCCGAUGAAGUGAAAUUCAAACUUCCUCGUGAACUAGGUAAUGAAACUGAUGGAGAGUGGCUUCAGAUAUAAGUAUCAUUCUCGUGUUAGGUCUCUUAAUAUAGUCGAGAAUGUGUGACACAUCAAGGCAUCCGAAGUGUCAUACAAUAAUAUUUAGGCAUGGAAAGUUAUAAUGUGCUCCAUUGGGUUAGCAUUGCCAUCGAAUGCCUCCAACGACGGUGGUGGAAGAUUGUUAGAAUCGAUUCUUCCUAAAUUUUCUAGAUAAAUGAUGACCGACUCGAGGUGGAGUUAACCAAUGCUUCCCUUUUGGAUUAUUAAAAUUUUUAUCAUAUCUCCUUCAAACGAUGAUCCAUCUAUCAUAGUUGGAUUUGCAAGGAAUCCUUCAUCAAAUUCGUCGAUCUAGUCUCUGAUUUAAGCAUGAUAGAAUCGUGAUAUGGAAUGCUAAAUUUCAUGAUUAUGGAGCGAAGUGCUCUCUCGGCCAUGAUUCGAUAGGUUUUGGGUACUUUUAGGAUGUAACACUAUGUUGGAUGGGGGAAAGUUGAUGGGUGCUAGUGGUGGGUGAGCCAGUGACAACAACUGAGUUAGUGGCGUUGUCUAUUAAGCUAACUAGGGUAAAUGUUAGAGAUUUUAAUAUAUAAAAGAAGUUUUAUAUUUUAAUAUAUAGAAUAUGCAUACUUGCAAGGCAUCUUAUGUUUGUCAAUUGUUGUCACCCCUUUUUUCUUAUUUAAGAUCCCUUCUGAUUUUUUUAAUCAUAAUUAUAUUUUUACUGUUUUUUAAUAUUUAAUUCCUUCCAUCGAAAGAAAUGAACUUGAAUAACGAGAUGAUAUAAUAAAAGACACAAUAUCAACAAAAAUUUCUCAAGACCUACAUAAAGAAAAAACAAUUCUUUGUAAAAAGAGAAAAAGCUAUAUUAAUUAGCAAAAACUAAAAAAAAACGAAGAGCCGUUAGUAGCCUCCGAGGAAGAACAAAAAGUGGGUCAGCCUAUAAAAGUUGGCGUUGCCAUGGGGCUAAGGAGUUACAAAACCUAUCAACAACCAAUCCAAACAAACCAUGCAAAUCAACAACUAUACAAAGAUGAAUGAUGAUCUUAUUAAAUAUUAAACUUAAUAUUUAUGAAGCAAAAUGAAUGUGCUUGUCACAAUAAAAUCAUAAGAGUUCACGAGUGCUUAAGUUUUUUUUACGGCUAGAAUAAUGGAAUAGAUAAAACUUUGGUCGAGCUUACGAACAUAAAAAACGAAAAAAAAAUUAAAAUUUUGGUUAUGUAAAAGCUCAAUAAGAGUUCAAAAUUGGUUAAACUAAUCAGUGUUGCCCAUUUGUGACUGACAUCCACACGAGAUAGCCGAUUAGUUAUUUUUUAUUACUGGAAUAACGUGCAUCUCGACACUGCACAUUGACAAAGCCGAGCGCAUACCUUCCAUUGUCAAAAUCAACUAUGCUAAUGAUCAUGUUAGUGCGAUGGGUUCACUCUGUCAUUUGCCUACGCAUACAAUAUAUACUUUAGAAAACACAGAUAUAUUGAAAUUGCAUAGUUCGUCGUGAUCCUUUCUAAUCCCACACCAUGGGCCUUUAGCGGAUGAUGAGAUGGGACAUACUUCGGUAUCUCAGUAAAGUCAGAGCUCAUUCCUUAAAGGUUUUAUUAUAUUAAUUAUUGAGAGAUUAUAGAUUUUCUUUUAUUUUUUUUUGUUUUUAAUACAUCGCUCGUAGUAGUCUUAUGAAAGAUAAAAAGAGAAGAGAAUACGACUACAGUAGUAGCGACAACUAUAGCUUCAUCGCUACCACUAUGGUGAUUGUUGUAGCUUGUUGUGAUUGUAGCAUUAUCGUUGCUUAGGGCAACUACAACAAUGUCGUUGCGGCAUUUGUUGGCCAUGGCUGUUGAUAAGUCGCAUGCGAAGAGCUAUGCAACCACGAGCGAUGCAGGCGACGAAUGACCAGUGCACCAUCAACAAGACCUGCAAGUGUGGGCGUAGUGGGAUGCGACGACGACAACAACAUGAGAAUUUGAUUUUUUUUAAAGCACAUUUUUGUACCUCGAAUGCAUCUUGAUAUAAGAAAAUCAUAUCUCCUAAGGGCUCUUCACUGAUUUAAUCACCCGAGGAGAAGCACAAGUAAAAUUCUCCUACAUCAUUAGAAUCCAUGAAGUGAUAUAUAACACGAAUUACGAUCAGACCUAAACAAAAGAGGAAUCUCUCGAGCGACAUAACAAAAAUGAAUCCCAUAUUUGCUCUUUACAAUCAAUCUUUUGGCAUUCACUAAAAGUUAGACUAAUUUAGUUGAUAAAAAUCUUCGUUGUAUUUUUUAAAUAUUAUUAUAAAAAUGAAUCCCAUAUUUGCUCUUUACAAUCAAUCUUUUGGCAUUCACUAAAAGUUAGACUAAUUUAGUUGAUAAAAAUUUUCGUUGUAUUUUCUAAAUAUUAUUAUCAGUGUUGUCCCUCUUGAGAUAAAAAAAAGAAAUCGGUGUGCAAAAAGUGGUGGUCUGGUCAGUGUUAGCCCGAUAGGUACGGCGGGUGUGGCGUGCACCGGCCUGUUAUCCUUCCACCGUCAAGAGCGGGAGGUUAUCGCUGCUCUGUGAAACCAGCCUGACGCGGUGUCCUCCGCUUUAGGAUCCCAGAUAGCUCGGGCCUUCGUUCGAGCCACAUAGCUCAGCUGCCUGACUUGGAACGGGCAAGCCAAGUCUAGCACGACCGCACCCAACCUAUUCGGGCUGAACACAACAUUCCACCACCUUAUUGCCCCCACUAGGGUUACAAGCCGGCGUUACCGGGCUCGGCGAUCGAGGCGCUUCCACAACUUCAUAUAGCCUGUCAGUGAAUCCUAAAAAUUGGCGAUGUGGGACUAAAAACGCUCCCUCCUUUUUCCUUUCCGAACAUUCGUGCACCGCAUGCUUUCCAGGAGAAACCCGAAUUGCAUCUAAAGUUUCGAUCAUGGUUCCCCACCACCUAAAACCAUUCCAUCCCCUUCGAACAGACCAACAGAAGAUGCCCUGCAGACCCCUCCAGAUUACCCGACUCCUAAUCUUGAAACCUCGAAACCCAAUGCUCUCCUGCAUCGGGGAUUCAACAUGUUUCGAGCUAAAUUUCUCCUACAUCAGCUGACCGCAAUGCUGUAACUUUGGUGAUGAUGAAGAGGUGUAAGCUGAUAAAUGCUAUAACAAUGCCCGAAUACGUUGUCGGCCUCGUUGCAGAAGAGGAUCGACUUUUAGAUUGUGAAUCUGUGUCUUUGAACAUAGAUGCGCUAGCAUGUAUAUAAACCAUUACUUCUUAAUUCGAUGACAUUAAUAAAUAUAAUUGAUACGUCAUAUUUUGGCCUCGAAGACAUAUCAGGUCAGAAUCCAUACUAAGGCACUGCUUGACACGUCACAUCUUGGGAACCACAAGACACGCCAAGUCAGAAUCCAUACUAAGGCACUGCUCGGCAUGUCACGCCUCAGGAACCCCGAGACGGCGCCGCCCCCAAGACACGCCAAGUCAGAAUCUGUACUAAGGCACUGCUCGGCACGUCUACCAUGCCAAACCUCGUACGACUGACCCACGUACAAUAAUAUAAAGACCUCUGGCCGGCAUCUGGCUAGGAGGGGAAAAAAGGUGGUAAAAUCAAUUGAUCACUCUACUGACUUGUUCGUCAGAGGGUUCUCGUCGGGAAUCACCCAACGAGGGCCAUUUUUGAAGGAAAAUGCAGCCACCUCACGAAGACGAGCUACCAACCACCCGAGAAUCCCCAUCCAGUGCACGAAGGAGAGCAGCCAAUCGGUCCAUAUCCUAAACAAUGCCAACCAGUACUCCUUCUCGAGGGCUUGACCACCUCACGAAGAUGAGCUGCCAACCACCUCAGAAAAAGAGAGACGUAGCUCGACAUACACGACGCUCGGAUCGGCACACCAAGGAACACUGAUCAACACCCCAUUGCAAGGGCCCGAUAGACCUCGAUAUCCAACUCAACCGAUAGAAGACUCCCGACAUCGACCCGUAGACCAGGCUGUGCUAACUCACAAGCCACAGCACAUUUGUUUACUAACAUUUUGACGCUAGAAGGAGGGCAUGUCGCAAGAGCAACAGAUAGGGGUCCUCCCCGAGGGAGAACCACCGACCGACCUCCCUUUUGUUAAACCAAAAAGUCAGGCCUUCCCCACCCCCGGAGACAGGAGGAUCCCGGCUUCGAUGCUAGAUCGCUACUGUCGUCUGUUCAACGACCCGGGAUUGUCACCCCCGAGGCUCACCAUAGGGCCCUCGGUCGUGACACCCGAGGCAUUCCUUAGCCUAACCAAGCAAGUACAGGCCAUGGCGGGCAUGAUGUAGACGCUCGCUCCAAUCAUUCCUCAGAUCGUGCGGCUAGCGACGCCCCCGACCGACCCGUCCCAACAGCGACCGAACAGGGAGCAGGUCGGGACUGGAGAAGCCCAAGAGCAAGCAACGGACUCGAGAGGUCCGCCCGAGUAGAGCAUACUCGCACCCUGCCGAAUCACACCGCUCCACUCCGAGCCCGACACCAUAUCGUCCGACUCGGUGGAUGACUCGUUCAGGAUCCAGUUGUCUCGGAUCAACCAACGCUUGGAUGAGUUCCAGCGCGAGUUCCAGAAAUCGCGAUGCAAGUCGAAUGAAGGCGGCUCGGGCGAAUCGCCUUUCACUCAGGAAAUACAUGACAAGCCUGUACCACUCGACUUUAGGUUGCCCACAUUAGAGAUGUACGACGGCGGCUCUGACCCCGCAGAGCAUGUCGUCAUGUUUCGGGCUCAGCUAUGGCACCUCCAAUGCAUUGAUGUGUCGGGAAUUCCCGACCACCUUCAGGGGCCAGCACGAGCGUGAUUCAACCGGCUGCGCCAGUCCUCAGUCUCAUCCUUCGACCAGCUCACAAGGGAGUUCGAGCAAAACUUCCUCACCAACGUGCAACCCAAGCCUUCUAUCGCUACACUGCUGGCGUUAUCUCAACACGAGGAUGAGUCGCUCUCUCAGUUCGUGGCACAUUUAGCCACCGAGAUCUAUGAAUUUUCGGACGCUCAUCUCUCUCUAAUAAUGCAGGUGUUUCUGAUGGGCUUGAAACCUUCAAGGUUCUUUUGGUCACUAAUCGAGAAGCCUCCAGUAACCAUCCCCGAGAUGCUCCAAUGCGUCAACCAGUACAUCGCCGCCAAAGCUCUGGUGGUGGGAAAGUGCAUGGACAGCAAGAGGCCAAGGGCGAAACAAUCCCGGGGAACGACUUCCGUAGCCCCAGUGCAACCCCGCUAGAGGCUUGACUGACAAGAGCUACUGCUCCUGAGGCCCCCGCCUCUCCCUCUGAGCAUGUUCCACCAGGACUAUGACCACGGCACGGAAGAUUGCUGUGACCUCCAGAAUCAAAUCGAGGACUUGAUCCGAAAAGGUUAUCUCAAGUGCUAUGUCAAGGAAACCCGAGAAGCAACUCCAUGUCCUAGGGGACCCUUCGAAAGACGCCUCAUCAUCCAAAAUAUCAUGUCGAAAAGCCACUCGCGACAAGAGGUCCACAAGCUCGCCAGAUCGGUUCCCGACCUGCGACUCGCCGACCCAUCUCUUGCCUGAGCCGCUCUAGAUCGGUUCCCGACCUGUGCCUUGCCGGCCCAGCUUUUGCCCAAGUUGCUCCAGAUCAGUUCUCGACCUGCAGCUCGCCAGCCCAGCUCUUGCCCGAGUUGCUCUAUAUCGAUUCCCGACCCGCGGCUCGCCGGCCGAGCAUUUGUCCGAGCCGCUCCAGAUUGGUUCCCGACCUAUGGCUCACCGGCCCAGCUCUCAUUCGAGUCGCCCCAAAUCGGUUCCCGACCUGCAGCUCGCCGGCCCAGCUCUUGCCCGAGCCGCUCCAGAUCGGUUCCCGUCCUGCGGCCCGUUGGCCCAGCUCUUACCCAAGUCGCUCAAGAUUAGUUCUCGACCUCAGGCUCGCCGGCCUAGCUCUUGCCUGAGCCGCUCUAGAUCGAUUCUCGACCUGCGGCUCGCCGGCCUAGCUCUUGCCCAAGCGGCUCCAGAUCGGUUCUCGACCUGUGCCUCGCGGGCUCAGCUUUUGCCCGAGUCACUCCAGAUCGGUUCCCGACCUACGGCUCGUCGGCCCAACUCUCACCCGAGUAGCUCCAGAUCGGUUCUCGACUUGUGGCUCGCCAGCCCAACUCUUGCCCGAGCCACUCCAGAUCGGUUUCCGACCUGCGGCUCGUCGGCCCAACUCUUGCCCGAGUUGCUCUAGAUCGAUUCCCGACUUGCGGCUCUCUAGCCCAGCUCUUGCCCGAGCCAUCCAGAUCGAUUCCUGACCUGCGGGUAGCCAGCCCAGCUCUUGCCCAAGCGCUCUAGAUAAGUUCCUGACCUGUGCCUCGCUGGCCCAGUUCCUGCCCGGGUUGUUCCAGUUUGCUCCUGACUUUCGAUUCGGAGUCGAGCUUACUCACUUGGUCCCCAGAUUCAAUUCGGAGCCGAGCUUACUCACUCGGUCCCCAUAUCCGAUUCGGAGCCAAGCUUACUCACUCGGUCCCUAGGUUCAAUUCGGAGCCGAGUUUACUCACUCGGUCCCUAUGUUCAAUUCGGGGAGCCGAGCUUACUCACUUGGUCCCCAGAUUCAAUUCGGAGCCGAGCUUACUCACUCGGUCCCCAUAUUCGAUUCAAAUUCGAGCUUACUCACUUAGUCCCUAGGUUCAAUUUGGAGCCGAGCUUAGUCACUCGGUCCCUAGAUCCGAUUUAGAGCCGAGCUUACUCACUCGGUCUCCAGAUUCGAUUCGGAGUCGAGCUUACUCACUCGGUCCCCAGAUCCGAUUCAGAGCCGAGCUUACUCACUCAGUCCCCAGGUUCAAUUCGGAGCAGAGCUUAGUCACUCGGUCCCCAAGUUCAAUUCAGAGCUGAGCUUAUUCACUUGAUCCCCAGGUUCAAAUCGGAGAUAAGCUUAUUCACUCGGUCCCUAGGUUUGAUUCGGAGUCGAGCUUACUCACUCGGUCCCCAGGCUUAAUUCGGAGCCGGGCUUACUCACUCGGUCACCAGGUUCAGUUUGGAGCCGAGCUUAGUCACUCAAUCCCCAGGUUCAAUUCAGAGUCGAACUUAUUCACUCGAUCCCCAGGUUCAAAUCAGAGAUGAGCUUAGUCACUCAGUCCUCAGGUUCAUUUCUUGCUCGGGUCGCUCCAGAUCGCUCCCGACUUGCUACCCAUCGACACCGAAACCCGAGCCCGAGCUCGGUCACUCGACCCAUAGGCCCAAUCCAGUGUCCGAGCCACGCAUCUCAGCCAAUCCAACGCCCGAGUCGCAUCUCGGCCAAAUCCAAUGCCCGAGUCGCAUCUCGGCCAAAUCCAGCAUCCGAGCCACGCACCUCGGCCAUCCAACACCCGAGCCACGCAACUCGGCCAAUCUAACGCCCGAGUCGCAUCUUGGCCAAAUCCAAUGCCCGAGUCACAUCUCGGCCAAAUCCAACGUCCAAGCCACACACCUCGGCCAUCCAAAGCUCGAGCCACGCAUCUCGGCCAAUCCAAUGCCCAAGUCGUAUCUCGGCCAAUCCAAUACCCAAGUCGCAUCUCGACCAAAUCCAACGUCCAAGCCAUGCACAUUGCCCAUCCAAUGCCCGAGCCACGCAUCUCGACCGAUCCAACACCCGAGUAGCAUCUUGGCCGGUCCAAACGCCCGAACCACACAUCUUGGCCGAUCCAAUGCCCGAGCCAUACCUUGCGGCCAAUCUUAUGCCCGAGUCACAUCUCGAUCGAUCCAACGCCCGAAUCACCGGCCUAGUCUGUUAAUCCAAGUCGCUCCACGUCAACCCCUGACUAGCUACCCGUCAAGUCUCUAAACCGAGCCACCCCGGCUCGCUCGCCAACUUGCAAACUCGGCAGUUGUAACACCAAGUCGUGCCAAACCCGUUAUCUAACCUACGACACGUCGGUGUCGCCUCGUCGGUUUCGCCACGUCGGUUUCGACACGUUGGUUUUGCCUCGUCAGGCCCCUGCCUCCUGAUCAGUAGAGUCGAUCUUGCACGAAGCAUGGGGCGCUACCCUUCUAAAUCGCCCCAUGACGAGUUAAUCCAACUUCCCCUCAUGAACGAUCAGCCUCACUUCGAAGUAUCAUAUAAUAAUAUUUGGGCAUGGAAAGUUAUAAUGUCCUCCAUUGGGUUAGCAUUGCCAUCGAAUGCCUCCAACGACGAUGGUGGAAGAUUGUUAGAAUCGAUUCUUCCUGAAUUUUCUAGGUGAAUGAUGAUCGACUCGAGGUGGAGUCAACCAACGCUUCCUUUUUGGAUUAUUAAAUUUUUUAUCAUAUCUCCUCUAAAUGUCGGUCCAUCUAUGAUAGUUGGAUUCGCAAGGAAUCCUUCAUCAAUUUCGUCAACCUAGCCUCUGAUUUAAGCAUGAUAGAGUCAUGAUGUGGUAUGUUAAAUUUAUGGUGAUGGAGCGAAGUACUCUCUUGACCAUGAUUGGAUAGGUUUCGGGUACUCUUAGGAUGUCAACAUUAUGUUGGGUGGGGGAACAUUGAUUGGUGGGUGAGCUAUUGGGCUAACUAGCGUAAAUGUUAGAGAUUUUAAUAUAUAGAAUAUGCAUACUUGCAAGGCAUCUCAUGUAUGUCAAUUGUUGCAACCCCUUUUUUUUCUUAUUUAAGAUCCCUUCUGUUUUUUGAAUCAUAAUUAUAUUUUAACUGUUUUUUAAUAUUUAAUUCCUUCCAUCGAAAGAAAUGAACUUGAAUAACGAGAUGAUAUAAUAAAAGACACAAUAUCAACAAAAAUUUCUCAAGACCUACGUAAAGAAAAAAAAAUUCUUUGUAAAAAGAGAAAAAGCUAUAUUAAUUAGCAAAAACUAAAAAAAACGAAGAGCCGUUAGUAGCCUCCGAGGAAGAACAAAAAGUGGGUCAGCCUAUNNNNNNNNNNNNNNNNNNNNUCAACUAUGCUAAUGAUCAUGUUAGUGCGAUGGGUUCACUCUGUCAUUUGCCUACGCAUACAAUAUAUACUUUAGAAAACACAUAUAUAUUGAAAUUGUAUAGUUCGUCGUGAUUCUUUCUAAUCCCACACCAUGUGCCUUUACCGGAUGAUGAGAUGGGACAUUCCUUGGUAUCGCAGUAAAGUCAGAGGUCAUUCGUUAGAGGAUUUAUUAUAUUAAUUAUUGAGAGAUUAUAGAUUUUUUUUUAUCUUUAUUUUUUAUUUUUAAUUCAUUACUCAUAAUAAUCUUAUUAAAGAUAAAAAGAGAAGAGAAUGGGACUACAGUAGUGUUGUUGUGGGCGACAACUAUAGCAACAUCGAUACCACUAGGGUGAUUGUUGUAGCUUGUUGCGAUCGUAGCAUUACCGUUGCUUAGGGCAACUACAGCAAUGUCAUUGCGGUAUUUGUUGGCCACGGUCGAUGUCAACUAGACGUAAAAGACCAUGAUACUCAGCGGUUGCAUGACAAACUCGUAAGUAUUAGUGGGUGCCACAAUGACUAUGUGGUUGCUAGUUGAUACAAAAUCACGUAUGGCUGCGAUGACGAUGAGGUCGUUGAUUAGUCACAUGCGAAGAGCUAUGCACCGGUAACGAAUGACUAGUGCUCCAAGUGUGGGCAUAGUGGGAUGCGAUGACAACAUGAGAAUUUUUUUUUUUUUUAAGUAUAUUUUUAUCUUGAUAUAAGAAAAUUAUAUCUCCUAAGGGCUCUUCACUGAUUUAAUCACCUGAGGAGAAGCGCAAGUAAAAUUCUCCAGCAUCAUUAGAAUCCAUGAAGUAAUAACGAAUUACGGUCAGACCUAAACAAAAGAGGAAUCUCUGUGGCGUGCACCGGUGUGCAAAAAGUGGUGGUCUGGUCAGUGUUAGCCCGAUAGGUACGGCGGGUGUGGCGUGCACCGGCCUGUUAUCCUUCCACCGUCAAGAGCGGGAGGUUAUCGCUGCUCUGUGAAACCAGCCUGACGCGGUGUCCUCCGCUUUAGGAUCCCAGAUGGCUCGGGCCUUCGUUCGGGCCACAUAGCUCAGCUGCCUGACUUGGAACGGGCAAGCCAAGUCUAGCACGACCGCACCCAACCUAUUCGGGCUGAACACAACAUCCCACCACCUUAUUGCCCCCACUCGGGUUACAAGCCGGCGUUACCGGGCUCGGCGAUCGAGGCGCUUCCACAACUUCAUAUAGCCUGUCAGUGAAUCCUAACAAUCGGCGAUGUGGGACUAAGAGCGCUUCCCCUGCUCCCUCCUUUUUCCUUUCCGAACAUUCGUGCACCGCAUGCUUUCCAGGAGAAACCCGAAUUGCAUCUAAAGUUUCGAUCAUGGUUCCCCACCACCUAAAACCAUUCCAUCCCCUUCGAACAGACCAACAGAAGAUGCCCUGCAGACCCCUCCAGAUUGCCCCACUCCUAAUCCUGAAACCUCGAAACCCAAUGCUCUCCUGCAUGUUUCGAGCUAAAUUUCUCCUACAUCAGCUGACCGCAAUGCUGUAACUUUGGUGAUGAUGAAGAGGUGUAAGCUGAUAAACGCUAUACCAAUGCCCGAACACGUAGUCGGCCUCCUCGUUGGUGAAGAGGAUCGACUUUUAGAUUGUGAAUCUGUGUCUUUGAACAUAGAUGCGCUAGCAUGUAUAUAAACCAUUACUUCUUAAUUCGAUGACAUUAAUAAAUAUAAUUGAUACGUCAUAUUUUGGCCCCGAAGAUAUGCCAAGUCAAAAUUCAUACUAAGGCACUGCUCGACACGUCUACCAUGCCAACCCCCAACGACCGACUCACGUACAGUAAUAUAAAGACCUCUUGCCAGCAUCUGGCUAGGAGGGGAAAAAAGGUGACAAAAUCAAUUGAUCACUCUACUGACUUGUUCGUCAGAGGGGCCUCGUCGGGAAUCACCCGAUGAGGGCCAUUUUUGAAGGAAAACGCAGCCACCUCACGAAGACGAGCUACCAACCACCCGAGAAUCCCCAUCCAGUGCAUGAAGGAGAGCAGCCAAUCGGUCCAAAUCCCAACCAAUGCCAACCAGUACUCCUUCCCGAGGGCAUGACCACCUCACGAAGAUGAGCUGCCAACCACCCUAGAAAAAGAGAGACGUAGCUCGGCAUACACGACGCUCGGAUCGGCACACCAAUGAACGCUGAUCAACACCUCGUCGCAAGGGCCCGGUAGACAUUGGCAUCUAGCUCAAUCAACAGAAGACUCCCGACAUCGACCCGUAGACCAGGCUGUGCUAACUCACCAGCCACAGCACAUUUGUUCACUAACAUUUUGACGCUAGAAGGAGGGCAUGUCGCAGGAGCAACUGAUAGGGGUUCUCCCCGAGGGAGAACCACCGACCGGCCUCCCUUUUGUUGAACCAAAAAGUCAGGCCCUCCCCGCCCCCGGAGACAGGAGGAUCCUGGCUUCGACGCUAGAUCGCUACUAUUGUUUGUUCAAUGACCCGGGAUUGUCACCCCCGGGGCUCACCAUAGGGCCCUCGGUCGUGACACCCGAGGCAUUCCUUAGCCUAACCAAGCAAGUACAUGCCAUGGCGGGCAUGAUGCAGAUGCUCGCUCCAAUCAUUCCUCAGAUCGUGCGGCUAGCGACGCCCCCGACCGACCCAUCCCAACAGCGACCGAACAGGGAGCAGGUCGGGACCGGAGAAGCCCAAGAGCAAGCAACGUACCAGAGAGGUCUGCCCGAGUAGAGCAUACCAGCACCCUGCCGAAUCACACCGCUCCACUCCGGUCUUCUCGAAAACUGGCGAUUCAUGAAAAGGUUCGUCCCCUGGACUCCCGGGCAGACCAAAGGCUGCCCGGCCAACCGUGCCUCCCACAGCACAGCCUACAGUUCCGAUCAAAGUAGCUCCUCGGCCGCAACCGCCUGCGUCGUGCUCCUCGGCCCCAUGUUGCCCGAGACCACACUUGCGCGGCCUGCUCGCCCGAGUCCAGCUCCUCGACCGCAGCCGCCUACGUCGUGCUCCUCGGCCCCAUGCUGCCCGAGACCACACUCGCGCGGCUUGCCCGCCUACGUCGUGUUCCGCGGCCCCAUGCUGCCCGAGACCACACCUACGCGGCUUGCUCGCCCGAGUCUAGCUCCUCGGCCGCAGCCGCCUGCGUCGUGCUCCUCGGCCCCAUGCUGCCCGAAGACCACACCCUCGCGGCCUGCUCUCCUGAGCCCAGUAACCGCUCCUGCGCGGCCUGCCCGCAUGAGGGGCCUACCACCCCUACGGCCGAGCCCAACUUGACCUACGAGUCAUACUUCGGGGUUCCUCGGACCACUCACUACUCAGUGCCACCUCUGCACAUCCAACCCUCGUCAAUUGCCAAGCUCCACGAUUCCCACGCCCUUGGCGAUGAAUCGGUCUCCGCCCGACAGAGAUAGUUCCUUAAAACCGAAGCCAUGCCUCGGACCCCCCUUACGGCAACCGACGCAUAACUUCCUUUGGGAGGGGAGUAUGAUGAGUGUGAUAAUUAUGAUAAGACUUACGUGACAUCAGCUGACGCCCCACGUUUCUGUCGGGCUGACAGCACCUGGCAAACACGGGCCGAAACGGCAACCGAGGCCCAUUAACGACUGCUCAGGCUCUAUCCCUCAUGCCACGCCAACGGCGAUGUCAGACACCGUCAGAGGUACGAUCCUACUCCCUGCGGGCAGGCACAUUAGGUAACACUAAACGUCCCUAUAAAUACCCUCGCGUUCUAAACAAGAGGGGGGAGGGGGGGGGGACAACAGAUAAACACAAACAAACUUCCUGCGACCUUCAACUAACUUGAUCGUCGGAGGGGUCGGGUCAAGCACUCCGACCCGACCCGUGUGCAGGAACGAAGAUGAUGCGACUCUCACCGGACACACCAAGCGAGGAGCCCCUUCCCGGAGGAAACGACGACCCACCUCCACGACUGAACCGACCGAGCCAGCGACCUCAGCGGUCCCGAGGAACCCCCUAUGGAGAUCCCUGUCAUCCGGACCCGAAUCGAACCGCGUCGGCCCCGAGACCACGGCUUAAGGUUGUUUACACUAACACUUACUAUUUUUUAAUAUUUAAUUCCUUCCAACGAAAGAAAGGAACUUGAAUAACGGGAUGAUAUAAUAAAAGGCACAAUAUCAAGAAAAAUUUCUCAAGACUACAUAAAGAAAAAAAAUUCUUUGUAAAAAGAGAAAAAACUAUAUUAAUUAGCAAAAACUAAAAAAACGAAGAGCCGUCGGUAGCCUCCGAGGAAGAACAAAAAGUUGGACAGCCUACNNNNNNNNNNNNNNNNNNNNNNNNNNNNNNNNNNNNNNNNNNNNNNNNNNNNNNNNNNNNNNNNNNNNNNNNNNNNNNNNNNNNNNNNNNNNNNNNNNNNNNNNNNNNNNNNNNNNNNNNNNNNNNNNNNNNNNNNNNNNNNNNNNNNNNNNNNNNNNNNNNNNNNNNNNNNNNNNNNNNNNNNNNNNNNNNNNNNNNNNNNNNNNNNNNNNNNNNNNNNNNNNNNNNNNNNNNNNNNNNNNNNNNNNNNNNNNNNNNNNNNNNNNNNNNNNNNNNNNNNNNNNNNNNNNNNNNNNNNNNNNNNNNNNNNNNNNNNNNNNNNNNNNNNNNNNNNNNNNNNNNNNNNNNNNNNNNNNNNNNNNNNNNNNNNNNNNNNNNNNNNNNNNNNNNNNNNNNNNNNNNNNNNNNNNNNNNNNNNNNNNNNNNNNNNNNNNNNNNNNNNNNNNNNNNNNNNNNNNNNNNNNNNNNNNNNNNNNNNNNNNNNNNNNNNNNNNNNNNNNNNNNNNNNNNNNNNNNNNNNNNNNNNNNNNNNNNNNNNNNNNNNNNNNNNNNNNNNNNNNNNNNNNNNNNNNNNNNNNNNNNNNNNNNNNGCAAUGACAAAAUCAACGAUGCUAAUGAUCAUGUUAGUGCGAUGGGUUCACUCUGUCAUUUGCCUACGCAUACAAUAUAUACAUUAGAAAACACAUAUAUAUUGAAAUUGCAUAGUUCGUCGUGAUCCUUUCUAAUCCCACACCAUGGGCUUUUAGCGGAUGAUGAGAUGGGACAUACCUCGGUAUCUCAGUCAAGUCAUAGCUCAUUCGUUAGAGGAUUUAUUAUAAUAAUUAUUGAGAGAUUAUAGAUUUUCUUUUAUCUUGUUUUCAUUUUUAAUUCAUCACUCGUAGUAAUCUUAUGAAAGAUAAAAAGAAAAGAGAAUGAGAUUAGUAGUGUUGUUGUGGGCGACUACUAUAGCAACAUCGCUACCACUUGGAUGAUUGUUGUAGCUUGUUGCGAUUGUAGCAUUACCGUUGCUUAGGGCAACUAUAGCAAUGUCGUUGCGGCAUUUGUUGGCCACGGUCGAUGUCAACUAUACGUAAAAGACCAUGAUACUCAGUGGUUGCAUGACAAACUCGUAAGCACUAGUGGGUGCCACGAUGACUAUGUGGUUGCUAGUUGGUACAAAAUCACGUGUGGCUACGAUGACGAUGAGGUCGUUGAUAAGUCGCAUGCGAAGAGCUAUGCAACCACGAGCGACGAAUGACCAGUGCACCAUCAACGAGGCAUCCAAGUAUGGGCAUAGUGGGAUGCGAUGACAACAUGAGAAUUUGAUUUUUUUUUUAAGCAUAUUCAACGACAUUUGUUGGUCACGGUCGAUAUCAACUAGACGUAAAAGAUCAUGAUACUCAGCGGAUGCAUGACAAACUCGUAAGCAUUAGUGGGUGUCACGAUGACUAUGUGGUUGCUAGUUGGUACAAAAUCACGUGUGGCUACGAUGAUGAUGAGGUCGUUGAUAAGUCGCAUGCGAAGAGCUAUGCAACCACGAGGGACGCAAGCGACGAAUGACCAGUGCACCAUCAACGAGGCAUCCAAGUGUGGGCAUAGUGGGAUGCGAUGAUAAUUUGAUUUUCUUUAAAGCAUAUUUUUAUGCCUCGAACGCAUCUUGAUAUAAGAAAAUUAUAUCUCCUAAGGGCUCUUCACUGAUUUAAUCACGUGAGGAGAAGCGCAAGUAAAAUUCUCCAGCAUCAUUAGAAUUCAUGAAGUGAUAUAUAAUACGAAUUACGGCCAGACCUAAACAAAAGAGGAAUCUCUCGAGUGUGGCGUGCACCGGUGUGCAAAAAGUGGUGGUUUGGUCAGUGUUAGCCCGAUAGGUACGGCGAGUGUGGCGUGCACCGGCCUGUUAUCCUUCCACCGUCAAGAGCGGGAGGUUAUCGCUGCUCUGUGAAACCAGCCUGACGCGGUGUCCUCCGCUUUAGGAUCCCAGAUGGCUCGGGCCUUCGUUCGGGCCACAUAGCUCAGCUGCCUGACUUGGAACGGGCAAGCCAAGUCUAGCACGACCGCACCCAACCUAUUCGGGCUGAACACAACAUCCCACCACCUUAUUGCCCCCACUCGGGUUACAAGCCGGCGUUACCGGGCUCGGCGA
rnacentral:lncRNA from 1 species